rnacentral:rRNA from 1 species
CGAUUGCUCAGUAACACGUGGACAACCUGCCCUGAGGACUGGAAUAAUCCCGGGAAACUGGGGGUAAUUCCAGAUAUGUCAGAACUCCUGGAAUGGGUUCUGGCAGAAAGGCUCCGGCGCCUCAGGAUGGGUCUGCGGCCUAUCAGGGUAGUAGUGGGUGUAACGUACCUACUAGCCUACGACGGGUACGGGUUGUGAGAGCAAGAGCCCGGAGAUGGAUUCUGAGACAUGAAUCCAGGCCCUACGGGGUGCAGCAGGCGCGAAAACUUUACAAUGCGGGCAACCGCGAUAAGGGGACCUCGAGUGCUGGGUUACAAACCUGGCUGUUGGGCUGCCUAAAAAGCAGUCUAUAGCAAGGGCCGGGCAAGACCGGUGCCAGCCGCCGCGGUAACACCGGCGGCUCGAGUGGUAACCGCUGUUAUUGGGUCUAAAGGGUCUGUAGCCUGCCGGCUAAGUCUCUUGGGAAAUCUGGCAUCUCAAGUGUCAGGCUGCCAGGGGAUACUGGUCAGCUUGGGACCGGGAGAGGUGAGAGGUACCUCAGGGGUAGGGGUGAAAUCUUGUAAUCCUUGAGGGACCACCAGUGGCGAAGGCGUCUCACCAGAACGGAUCCAACGGCAAGGGACGAAAGCUAGGGGCACGAACCGGAUUAGAUACCCGGGUAGUCCUAGCCGUAAACGAUACUCGCUAGGUGUCGGCCACGGUGCGACCGUGGUCGGUGCCGUAAGGAAGCCGUGAAGCGAGCCACCUGGGAAGUACGGCCGCAAGGCUGAAACUUAAAGGAAUUGGCGGG